AGCCCUCCACAGCCCCUGACACAGCAUCUAACACAGCCCCUUCACAGAACACCACAUACCUCACACAUACAUAAGAACAUAAGAACAUAAGAAAUAAGGGAAGCUGCAAGAAGCGACCAGGCUUACACGUGGCAGUCCCUGUAUGAAAUAUACCUACCUAUUUCCAUCUGUUAUCCCCAUCCAUAAACUUGUCUAAUCUUUUAAAGCUCUCUAGUGUCCUAGCACUAACAACAUGAUUACUGAGUCCGUUCCACUCAUCUACCACUCUUUUUGAGGACAAAUUUUUUUUCCUAUCUCCAUCCUAAACCCAAAUUUUUCAAGCUUGUACCCAUUAUUUCUUGUUCUACCCUGGUUGCUGAUCCUAAGAAUUUUGCCUACAUCCCCCUUGUUAUAACCCUUAUACCACUCAAAGACUUCUAUCAGGUCCCCUCUUAACCUACGUAUCUCUAAAGAAUGUAAAUUUAACAGCUUCAACCUCGAGACCUAUAUCUUUCCUGUAAUGUGGGGACCAGAACUGCACAGCGUAGUCUAGAUGAGGUCUGACCAGCGCCAAGUAUAACUUUAAUACUACUUCCGGCCUUCUACUUUUAACACUCCUAAAAAUCACACACACCACAGGAGCCUCACAAACAGUCUGACAGCCUUCACAAGCAGCCCCACACUCCACCACAGACACACCAGACCCACUUCACCUCACCCACUUCCCAGCCCCCCACAGCCCCCCAGCCACCACAAAUGAAGUCAAAGGAAGGGACUGUGGCCUCACCCAGCCAGCCAGGACAGCCUACAGAGAGGGGGUAGUCCCAGUCAAGUCACAAAAUAUAGGCUUGGUUCUUCCUACAGUUUGAAGUCAAUGAUUGGACAGGCCAGACAGCUUAGUGGCAGAGCUGCAGGUGGCCCUUGUAAGCUUCCUGGUGGCCACAGGUGUAGGACAGCUGGGAGCAGUGGAGGUGCCUGAUGGGGCAGCUGUGCCGGACAGAGGGGCUGCUACUGCUGCUGCUGCUGCUGGGGAGAGCCACACUUGUAUGGUGGUAACACGGAGAGGAAGUGGAAGAAACCUUGGGACGCUCCCAUAACUCAGGAGCAAGAAAUACACCUUACUGGAAACCUUGUGACUGACAGGUGGCGGUGACUGCAGGAACCAAUUCAGAUGUCUGUCUUGUGCUGGCGAACGUCCUGUCUGCAGUCAGGCCAGUAGUGCUAUGUCGCAGGGUGUGACAUCAGGUGAAGAGCCAAAUGGAGAGUGUCUGCAGCCAGUACUGGGUGUGCUGAUGCUGUACAAGUGUCGAGCCAGGUGCCACAGCACAUGACUCCACCAGUGUAGUGUCUCUAGUCCAGGAUGCACUGCUGUGUACGACUUGUAUGUCUUUAUAAAUUUGUGACUAUUCUUAUUAUAUUUGUGAAAUAAGACUUGUAUGUCUUUGCUAAUAAAUAAAUAUUUGUGA